rnacentral:rRNA from 1 species
UGAACGCUGGCGGCGUGCCUAAUACAUGCAAGUCGAGCGAACAGACGAGGAGCUUGCUCCUCUGACGUUAGCGGCGGACGGGUGAGUAACACGUGGAUAACCUACCUAUAAGACUGGGAUAACUUCGGGAAACCGGAGCUAAUACCGGAUAAUAUAUUGAACCGCAUGGUUCCAUAGUGAAAGACGGUUUUGCUGUCACUUAUAGAUGGAUCCGCGCCGCAUUAGCUAGUUGGUAAGGUAACGGCUUACCAAGGCAACGAUGCGUAGCCGACCUGAGAGGGUGAUCGGCCACACUGGAACUGAGACACGGUCCAGACUCCUACGGGAGGCAGCAGUAGGGAAUCUUCCGCAAUGGGCGAAAGCUUGACGGAGCAACGCCGCGUGAGUGAUGAAGGUCUUCGGAUCGUAAAACUCUGUUAUUAGGGAAGAACAAAUGUGUAAGUAACUAUGCACGUCUUGACGGUACCUAAUCAGAAAGCCACGGCUAACUACGUG